CAGGUUCCAUGUUCAGCACAGAGCCCGACAUGGGGCUCAAUCCCACGACCCUGGAAUCAUGACCUGAGCCAAAAUCAAGAUCCUGACGCUCAAAUGACUGAGCCACCCAGGCACCCCCGGCCCUGCUUCCUCAGAAUACCCAGACCCCUAAUACCAGAGGUAACAACAACAGUCAUGGGUUUCAGUCCGUCUUCAUGGUGUUCCAGCGUGUUCUUGACCUCCCCCACUUUACCUCUGUGUUCAUCUCUGGGACUGAGAUUGAUAUCCUUGGAAUUUCCAUGUAAGAGGAGUGUCUUUGUUAAUUCACACGCUGCUUGGGUCAUACCUGAGUUUAUGCUGAGCAGUGAGAUGGCUCAGUGUGGGGCCAUCUGACCAGGAUGGGGCUGGUCAACUAGAAAGACCCACUGCCUGGUGAGCACGUUGGGGCUUUGAGCCAGCCUGACCUCUGGGGAGGGCAUGGGGCUGGGAUUGAGUGAAUGGCAUGGCUGAUGAUUCAAUUGAUCACGCCUAUGCAGUCACAUCCCAUUUCAAACUCUGCAUGCACCAAAGCCCGGUGGACCUUCCUAGGUGGUAAACACAUCGAUGUACCCGGAUUUACACUGAUGGCAGAACACGCUGAUGAUGCCCUGAUUCCACAGGGAGAGAGCAUGGAAGCACCAUGGUCAGGACCCUCCCAGGCCUCGCCCUAUGUGUCUUUCCCUUUGCAGCAAACUGUGAUCACUGACCUAGCACUCUCCGGAGCUUUAUGGGUCAUUCUAAUGAGUUACUGAACCCAAAUGUGUUUUGGGAACCCCCUCGGUUUUGUGGCCAGUUGAUCAGUUGCACCGGUGGCCUGGGGACCCCACUUGAGGCUGGCAUCUGAAGGUGGGGGUGGAGGGGGUGGGCGAUCAUAACCAGUUUAUAUCGGAUGAACAUCCUUCUUAGCUUUCCUAAUGCCCUCCCCGAGGACAUCAAGCCCCGCAUCAGACACGAAGACCGCCGGCCAGCUCCCACAAGUUGUGUGAGGUCAGAUUUCCAUGUAUAAGCGUAUGUAUGUGUGCAGGCGUGGACGGUGGCCCAGCCUCUCUGACUGAGCUCUGACUGAUACAAAUGCCUCAUCCACUGGUACCUCCCUGCCUUCUCUACCCAGGGCGCUCUUCAGUAUCCACCCAAACCCUCUGAUCAUUUAUUACACACCUGCCAUUUUCCACUUGUCUGGGUGUCCCAGAGGGAGUGAUGCCGUUCAACUGUGCAGACACCCGAGGGAUGAAUAUUGCAAUGACACUAACAAAGCAAGGACAAAGCCCUGGCAGAUCUGGGCUGGCUUGAAGGAACCUAGCAUUUAUCUGGCUUUGGAAGCACGGGAGAGCUUUCUGUGGACGAGAAAUUGGGUGAGGUGAGGUCUUAGCAGGAGCCUUUCCUUCCUGAGAAUUGUUCUGACACUCGCUGUCCAGCGGAUCCAGCCCCGGGACCAUGUGUGCUUUUCCUCGUUUGACUUCCCAUUGCCUUUAAGGGUCUUUCUCGGUUAGGCUGCUAUACUCAUCAUAACAGCUGCCAUAGGUAAAGGGGCCACUCUGUGCCAGGGGCUUGCCAUGCAUUAUCUCUGAAGCUGGCUCUAAAGCUGCCUCUUAAUCCCCAUCACCUAUUUCACCCAUCCCCCACCCCCCUGCCCUCUGGUAACCGUCUGUCUGUUCUUGGUAGUUAAGAAUCUGGUUUUUGGUUUGCCUCCACAGGUUGGCAUUAUUAGCUCCACUUUACAGAUGGGAAAACUGAGGUUUACAAAGUCCCACGUUUUGGACAAAGGACCAUACAAAUGAGUAUAAGUGGAAGAGCUGGGAUCCGAACUCAGACCCCUGUGGCUCUAAAGCCCAUGCUAUGCUCUCCCCGCCCAUGUAAGCUCCUUCAACAUGGGGGAGACCCCUCUGCGUCCCUGGCACGUGGCGCCAGGUCUGGCUGGAGCCGCCGCCCCUUGGGUUUGUUGAAUCCACCUCCUGCCCCACCAUCCCCACCUCCUUAUCUGGCCCCUCUUCUCUCAGGGGACAGGGAGGCAGAGGGGAGAAAGGUUUCCCCUGCUCGCCCCCCGCUUCGGGCAGAUCGCUGGGUAUUUUUACCAGCCCGGGAAGACUGGGAGUAAAACGGGCUCCGGUUUUGAACUUGCCUUGUCAGCCCUGCCUCCCGAGUCCCCCCGGCAAAAGGUUUACGGUCGACUCUCGCAGCUUUGCUGAUGCAGCCGGUAAUGUUUAUAACCACAAUCAAGCACUCCGAGAGCCGCAGCACUGAUUUCUCGCCCAUCUCUACCCUGUAACAGAAGAUUUUUCAAUCGAGUAGGUUCGUCUCAUGCACAACAUUAGUUUUAAAAUAGCUCUAGCCCAGCUCUGAGGAUUGCACAGGGAUUUGUACUUGAAGUCAUGGAAAUACAUUUAUUUUACCUUCCUCUUACUCCCUCUUUGAGGGAUUUUAAUACAUCAUGCAGGAGUACUUCUCACGUGUCAGGAAAAAGAUGGUCUCUGCAGCGAAGACAAAGGACUGUGCGUAUUGUAUUUGUUGAAAGAGAAGAGCUCCACUUGGGCUCACCCCCGUGGGCUUCUCAGGGUCCCGUAAUUGGGGACUUUCCCUCGUGCCUGACCCUGGGGGCAUCAGCUGGAAAUCUCCUGCAGCCCCGGCGAUCCGCCAGUAAUUUAAAGGCUGGAUGUGGGGUCGGCAGAGGGAAGGUGCCCGGCAGAGGCAUCACCCAGCCAGUUCCCGUGUAGCCGGAGAGACGCACACCUCGGUGUGACUCAGGCCCUGCAGACCGCCUGAGAUCGCAGCCCGAGCCCCUACGUGGACAGGACAGCAGAGCUGCAGGUAUCGGUGAAUAACCCGGGCGUAGUCAUCGUGCUUCUGUAUCUGUAGCGUGACGUCCUGGGAGGGAGCAGUUGCUGACCCAAAGGCUGUCUUUGUUUCCUGUGGCUGCUUAGCCACGGAGUGACUUGAGGAAACGCAGCCUUACUCUCUCACUGUUCUGGAGGUCGGAAAUCCAGAAUCCAUUCCACUGGGCUAAAAUCAAGGCGUUGGCAGGUCAGGUUGAUCCUGCAGGCUCUAGAAGAAGCCGUUGCCUUGCCUUUUUGCAGCUUCUGGUAGCCACUCGCAUUCCUUGGCUUGCAGCCCCUCGGUCCAUUUUCAAAGGACGUUGCUCCGGUCCCUGCCCUGUCAGCCCGUUGUCUUCUCGAGUCUGAUCUCCCGCCUCCCUCCUGUAAGGACGCUUGUGAUUACGUCAGACCCCCCUGGGUGACCUGGAAUAAUUUUAGCAUGUCCGGAGUCUCAGCUUAAUUGAAUCCAGCACCCUGUUUGCCAUGUAAGGUAACGUUCACACACGCCAGGGGUUAGGAUGUGGACCCCACGAUUCAGCCUGCCUCAAAGCUUAAAUUGCCCUCCGUCGGGCUUGUAACAAUUUACCUCCUCGCCACCAAUAUAAGGGCCUACCCAUUCCCCAUACCUUAGCCAUACAGCUCUGUCAACGUGAUCUUUGCAAAUUUGAUGAUAGAGAAAAAUCAUACCCGGUGUGGUUUGAAUUCGCAUGUUUCUCACGAGUGAGAUAGAGAAUACGUUUAUAUGUGCAAAAGCCAUCUGCAUUUCAUUUUUGGUAGACUGUAUUGUCACAUACGUUGCCUGCUUCUUUUGCGGGGUGGGGUGUGAGUAUGGGGCGUGUUGGCCUUUUCAGCCCUCUGAGUUGAAUUAGAGACGAAGACAUGAAAAGCCCAGAGACCUUCAAUAGCUCACCCGAGGCCACGGGCAGGUGGAUGGCAGGCCCAGGACUGAAGCCGUCCUUGAUUUUCAACUUCAUCUGUUACAGUCUUAUCACGCGGCAGCUAGGUGUAGCUGCUUCUCUGUCGAGCCACACAUUAGGGAUAAUGAGCAAACCGCUAAUACUGAUUGGGCUGUGCUUUUGCCAUUUUGUCCAGGAGCUUUUGUUUUCGCUUGUUUCCUUUUUACCCUCCUAGGUAUUACUAUCCCAUUUCACACACAGGGAAACCGAGGCUCAGAGAGACUUCGGAGCCUGGCUGCAGGCAGAUGACCGAUGAGUGCAAACCCAAGGCGGAAAGACAAUUCCUUCCCUCUGACCUCCACUUCAGCCCUUUCCCUGCUAUUCUCCACUAUGAUUCCAGCGGCCCAUGUGAUCUCCCCAACCAGAGGAAAUUCCCUCGCCUCACCCAGCGUCCGCGGACUAUCAGGAGGACGCUGUACAUCAGGGACACAGCCGGUUCGGUUCGAAACUUGGAGAGUUAAAAACUUGUGUCCAUACAAAAGCCUGCUCGUGGAUGUUUAUAGCAGCCUUAUUCAUAAUUGUCAAAGCGUGGAAGCAACCAGGAUGCCCUUGUGUAGGGGAGUGGGUAAAUAAGCCAUGGUGUGGUCCAUCCACACAAUGGAAUAGUAUUCAGCGCUAAAAGGAAAUGAGCUAUCAAGCCACAAAAGACACGGAAAAGGUUGAAAUGCAUAUUAUUAAGUGAAAGAGGCCAACCUGAAAAGACUUCGUGCUGUAGGAUUCCAACUAUAGGACAUUCUGGAAAGAGCAAAACUAUGCAGACAGUAAAAAACAGAUCAGCAGUGGCCAGGGGUUGGGUCGCGGGGAGGGAUGAACAGGCAGAGCAUAGAGGACUCUCAGGGCAGUGAAACUAUUCCAUAUGAUACCAUCAUGAUGGCGUCGUUAUGCAUUUGCCCAAACCCUUGGAAUGUGCACCAACCACCAAGAAUGAGCCCGAAUGUUAACAACGGGCUUUGGGUGAUAAUGAUGUGUCAGUGUGGGUUCAUCGAUUGUAACAAAGGUACCAUCUGGUGAGGGAUGUUGAUAGUGGGAGAGGCUGUGUGUAGGAGAGAAGAGGGUCUUACAUGGCAAAUCUCCAUACCUUCUGCUCAGUAUUGCUGUGACUCUGAAUCUGCUCUAAAAGCUAAAGUCCAUUAAAAACAAAACAAAAACUUGGAGGGUGGGCUCCUGAAGAUGCCCAUCAGGGAAACUGAGGCCAGACUUGGAUGGGCAGCUGGGAUCUGACCCCUGGUCUCCUGACCGUGGUGGAGUCACUGUUCUUUCCACUGUGCCUCCCUGCCAAGGAAAACGUCAGUAUCAAUCCAUCCCUGACCUCCUGGUCACUCGCACCCAGAAUGGAAGCCAGCCAACUCUGACAUCCAUGGCCCUUACGAGCCACUGUCCCCGGGAACUCCUCCUUAAGCACUCUUACUGUUAAAGCAUGUUGGGGACCAUCAUCUCUUCAUUGCAGUAGUGUCCAUAGGCUUGAAUAAUGGCUGGAAUCUUGUGGGUUCAUUGGCUGGACAUUACGGGAUGCCUGUGUUGUGCCGUGAGCAAAAGAAGGCUUUAUUCACACCGGCAUCUGGGCCAGAGGGGUCUGAAAAGCUCAAUUAUUCGGCAGAGCGUGAUGGAAAAAUAAAACCCCGAGUAGAUGUGUUUAAGGUCAUCCUUUGACUUCUUGGAAGGUGGGGAGCCAGGAGUCCCGACUCUCUCAUUGGCCUUAACUGUUGCUCGAGGCUCUCCAAUCUUAACUUUACCCCCAAUAAAACAAAUGUAUAUAUAACUUUAUUUUCAUUAAAAGCUUCAUACCAAGAAGACAGCAUGACUCAUAUCUUUGAAUCGAUGUAAUUUUGGUUCAUAAAGUGGGAUUAAAACGGAGGAGCCAA